rnacentral:rRNA from 1 species
UCCAGCAGUUGGAAAGAACUUCGGUCAAGGAUGGACUCNCGGCCUAUCAGGUAGUUGGUGAGGUAACGGCUCACCAAGCCUACGACGGGUAGCCGGCCUGAGAGGGUGACCGGCCACACUGGGACUGAGACACGGCCCANACUCCUACGGGAGGCAGCAGUGGGGAAUAUUGCACAAUGGGCGCAAGCCUGAUGCAGCAACGCCGCGUGAGGGAUGACGGCCUUCGGGUUGUAAACCUCUUUUAGUAGGGAAGAAGCGAAAGUGACGGUACCUGCAGAAAAAGCACCGGCUAACUACGUGCCAGCAGCCGCGGUAAUACGUAGGGUGCGAGCGUUGUCCGGAAUUAUUGGGCGUAAAGAGCUCGUAGGCGGUCUGUCGCGUCUGCUGUGAAAACCCGAGGCUCAACCUCGGGCCUGCAGUGGGUACGGGCAGACUAGAGUGCGGUAGGGGAGAAUGGAAUUCCUGGUGUAGCGGUGGAAUGCGCAGAUAUCAGGAGGAACACCGAUGGCGAAGGCAGUUCUCUGGGCCGUAACUGACGCUGAGGAGCGAAAGCGUGGGGAGCGAACAGGAUUAGAUACCCUGGUAGUCCACGCCGUAAACGUUGGGCGCUAGAUGUGGGGACCAUUCCACGGUUUCCGUGUCGCAGCUAACGCAUUAAGCGCCCCGCCUGGGGAGUACGGCCGCAAGGCUAAAACUCAAAGGAAUUGACGGGGGCCCGCACAAGCGGCGGAGCAUGCGGAUUAAUUCGAUGCAACGCGAAGAACCUUACCAAGGCUUGACAUACACGAGAACGGGCCAGAAAUGGUCAACUCUUUGGACACUCGUGAACAGGUGGUGCAUGGUUGUCGUCAGCUCGUGUCGUGAGAUGUUGGGUUAAGUCCCGCAACGAGCGCAACCCUCGUUCUAUGUUGCCAGCGCGUAAUGGCGGGAACUCAUAGGAGACUGCCGGGGUCAACUCGGAGGAAGGUGGGGAUGACGUCAAAUCAUCAUGCCCCUUAUGUCUUGGGCUUCACGCAUGCUACAAUGGCCGGUACAAAGGGCUGCAAUACCGUAAGGUGGAGCGAAUCCCAAAAAGCCGGUCUCAGUUCGGAUUGAGGUCUGCAACUCGACCUCAUGAAGUCGGAGUCGCUAGUAAUCGCAGAUCAGCAACGCUGCGGUAAUACUGCCCC